CCUCAGGUUCCCGAGUGGUUAAAGGGGACGGACUGUAAAUCCGUUGCUUAUAGCUUCGUUGGUUCAAAUCCAACCCUGAGGACCA
rnacentral:tRNA from 1 species